rnacentral:pre_miRNA from 1 species
AGUGUAAUUGCUGGGUCAUAUGGUAGUUGCAUGUUUAAUUUUUAAAGAAACUGACACAUGUUUUUCUAAAGUAGUUAUACCAUUUUUCAUUCCCAUAAGCAAU